UACGUAGGGUGCGAGCGUUUGUCCGGAAUUACUGGGCGUAAAGAGCUCGUAGGUGGUUUGUCGCGUUGUUCGUGAAAACUCACAGCUUAACUGUGGGCGUGCGGGCGAUACGGGCAGACUGGAGUACUGCAGGGGAGACUGGAAUUCCUGGUGUAGCGGUGGAAUGCGCAGACUAUCAGGAGGAACACCGGUGGCGAAGGCGGGUCUCUGGGCAGUAACUGACGCUGAGGAGCGAAAGCGUGGGGAGCGAACAGGA
rnacentral:rRNA from 1 species